UACGUAGGGUGCGAGCGUUGUCCGGAAUUAUUGGGCGUAAAGAGCUCGUAGGCGGUCUGUCGCGUCGGUCGUGAAAACUUGGGGCUUAACCCUGAGCUUGCGGUCGAUACGGGCAUGACUGGAGUUCGGUAGGGGAGACUGGAAUUCCUGGUGUAGCGGUGAAAUGCGCAGAUAUCUGGAGGAACACCGGUGGCGAAGGCGGCAUCCUGGACCAACACUGACGCUGAGGAGCGAAAGCCAGGGGAGCAAACGGG
rnacentral:rRNA from 1 species